CAGCUGCAGGUCUCAGCAGACGCCCUGUAAUCAGGACAGUGAAAGCGAAGGGUUUGGGUUAGGCCUUCCACCCGGGUUCCUCUCCUGGGUGUAAAGGCUCCUGCACGACACGACUGAACAUAUCUCCAGCUCAACAGUAUGGCAAUUAAAAAGAUUAUACGCUGAAAAGUAUUCUGGAGAGCCGCACACGUCUUGUGGCAAAGCAGUUCGGCCGAGGUCACGUUGAGAGAAAGUCGGGAUUGCAAACACUUGUUUCAACUCUUUUUCCGGAAUUUACCGAAACCUCUGCAGAUGGUGGCCAGGCAGACAUUGUGGAACGUUUCUGAUGACCUACCACCCUGCGUGUGCUGUUUAACGACGUACAGACGCACGCGCAUACACAAAUUGGGGGCCAGGUGAAGACGGCGCUCAUCGAGAACGCCAUCUACUACGGCACCUACCCGCUCAUCUUCGGCUCGCUGCUCAUCUACGUGGCCUUGCACCCCGAGUGGCACCUCUCCUGGGGGAGCGGUGGUCGCCUGUGGAAGCUAGCGUCUAGCAGUGGACCAUCAAGGGGCUUCCACCGCGCCGUUUAUCUCCUGCUCCUGCCUGCUCAAUUCAUC
ensembl:lncRNA